rnacentral:rRNA from 1 species
UCAGACGAUGCGUCAUGCAUAUCAAUAAGCGGAGGAAAAGAAACUAACAAGGAUUCCCUUAGUAACGGCGAGUGAAGCGGGAAGAGCUCAAAUUUGAAAUCUUCAAGGUUUUACCUUGACGAAUUGUAGUUUAAAGAAGUGUUUUCUGCUGAAGUUUUGGUAAAAGUUCUUUGGAAUAGGACAUCAUAGAGGGUGAGAAUCCCGUAUUUGACCAUUAUUUUCAGCUUUGUGAUACACUUUCAAAGAGUCGGAUUGUUUGGGAAUGCAGUCCAAAAUGGGUGGUAAAUUUCAUCUAAAGCUAAAUAUUGGCGAGAGACCGAUAGCGAACAAGUACCGUGAGGGAAAGAUGAAAAGAACUUUGAAAAGAGAGUUAAACAGUACGUGAAAUUGUCAAAAGGGAAGCGUUUGACACCAGUGUUGUUUUCUCGAAAAUCAAUUAAAAAUGGCUCGAUUUUGUAUUGUUUGAGACCUUAAAAGCUCACUGUACAUUUUUCGUGUCUUUUUUAAUGCACUUUUCGUUUAACAAGUCAACAUCAGUUUCUUUUGUUGUAAAAGGGUCAUUGGAAGGUGGCUUUCUUUUCGGAGAAAGUGUUUAUAGCCUUUGGCCUCUGCAAUCGGAGAGACUGAGGUCUGCAGCGUAGACUCUUCGGGGUUAGAUACAUUUGUGCUAAGUUAUAGCUUUUUAUAGACAACUUGUUGACUAUAAUUAGUCUUGUAGCUUACUCGCUUAUGCUAUUUUACCUACGCUUAGGAUGUUGACUGAUAUGUAGUCGUA